rnacentral:rRNA from 1 species
UACGAAGGGGGCUAGCGUUGUUCGGAAUCACUGGGCGUAAAGCGCACGUAGGCGGAUCUUUAAGUCAGGGGUGAAAUCCCGAGGCUCAACCUCGGAACUGCCUUUGAUACUGGGGAUCUCGAGUCCGGGAGAGGUGAGUGGAAGCUGCGAGUGUAGAGGUGAAAUUCGUAGAUAUUCGCAAGAACACCAGUGGCGAAGGCGGCUCACUGGCCCGGAACUGACGCUG